ACUGCUACUAAACUCUCUCAAGGACAGGAUGAUACAGUUAGAGGAGAAAUCCAGAGCAGACGUAAAAACAUUCGAAUAGUGGGCCUGGCUGAAAGAGAAGAGGGUUCGGGUCCACUGUUUAAAUAUCUGCAUAUUUCGAGACAUCAGCCUUGGCCACCAAGUUCCUGGAGAAGGAAUUUGAAAGCCAUUCUGCGGAUCCCCCGGUGUGAAAUUGAAAUUGGAUUACACACCAAGAAUUGUCUUUUCUUUUAUAAAGUGUGGAGAGGCACACGACAGGGGUGUCCCUUGUCCCCACUCCUCUUUGCCUUGGCAAUAAAACCUCGCAGCAUCUAUUAGAUCUUCUGCUUCAAUUGAUGGUAUUCUAGCAGCUGUUAAGGUUCGGGAGAGACCGUACCGGAUCCCAGAGAGUCGCAGGGUUCCUGUUCGCAAGGAGGUGGAGAAUAUCCUCGGGUUUGGAGUCAUUGAACCUUCCCGGAGCAAGUGGUGCAGUCCUAUUGUGAUGGUGGGCAAGAAGGACGGCUCUACUCAGUUCAGUUCUGUGUGGAAUUUAGAAAGGUUAAUGCCCUCUCCAAGUUCGAUGCAUAUUUGGAUCUGACUAAGGGAUACUGGCAAAUUCCACUCACUCCGAGCUCAAGAGAGAAAACUGCUUUCUCUACCCCAGAUGGCUUGUUCCAUUUCAGGACCAUGCCCUUCAGGUUGCAUUGAGCUCCUGCCACCUUUCAGAGACUGAUGGACCAGGUCUUGGCUCCCCAUCAUCAGUAUGCUACCGCAUGCAUUGAUGAUGUGGUGAUUUUUAGCUCCAACUGGAAGGAGCAUAUUACUAGACUUUCAGCCAUCCUACAGUCUCUAAGGGAGGCAGGGCUAACAUCCAAACUGGGCAGGUGUGCAUUUGGCAAACAGGAGAUCCAAUAUCUUGUCUAAAUUAUGGGUAAUGGCUAGGUAAAGCCGAUCACCUCCAAAGUCCAGGCGCUGGUGGAGACGGCGAUCCCGAGAACCAAGUCACAGGUGAGAUCACUACUGGGGUUAGCCGGCUAUUAUCGCCAUUUUAUCCCCGAGUAUGCCACCAUAGUCAACCCCCUGGUAGAUCUCACCCAAAAGGCUGCUCCAAAAAUAGUUAAAUGGACAGUGCCGUGUCGGGAGGCAUUUGAUAUGAUUAAGAAGAGACUCUGUCAAGCUCCCGCUCUGAUUUCACCAGAUUUCAGUAAAUAGUUCAUCCUUCAGACUGAUGCCUCCCAGAUUGGUCUGGGGGCGGUCCUGUCCCAACAAGUUGACGGAGUAGAACACCCUAUCAUUUAUUUGAGCAAAAAAUGGCUCCUGGGGAGAUUAAGUACUCCGUCAUUGAGAAGGAGUGUUUAGCCAUCAAAUGAGCUACUCACACUCUUCGCUAUUACUUGUUGGGGCGUUCUUUCUCUCUUGUCACUGAUCAUGCUCCUUUAAGUUGGUUACACACGAUGAAGGAGAACAAAUCCCUGAUAACUCAUGGUAGCUGGCGUUGCAACCCUUCCACUAUACAGUGAAACAUUGUGCGGGUAAGGAGCAUUUUCAAGGGAGGGGGGACCAUUGGGGAAUGUAGAGUUGGCCGAGUAUUCUUUCGGCAUCACUCUGAGGGGUAAGAUAUGUGAUAAAGAGAGAAAGAAUCGAUUCUGUAAAUCUCCCUCCCGUCCAGAAACGGCACUGUGUAAGGCUGGUAUUACAUUUCCCCAUAGAAGGGUUGACUCGACGGUGGUCACAGGAAGACGGCCAUCUUGGAGGAAGUACGUAGCUGCGAGUACUCUAAAUGAUUCCCAUAUGAUCAUCUGAGGGACAAGCAGCAUUUAGUUACACUGGGGCGCCGGGCUGAUUGCAGGGAGGAGCUGGGCAGUACAAAGGGGACACAGCUGCAUGAGCACAGCCCCUGGUUUGUGAAGGGAAUGCCUCUUUGUUCAUCCACAUAACAUGUUGUUGAAGAACUGUUAUAAUAAAUUCAAGUUAAACAACUUCCCAUCCACAAAAUGUUUUUUUAUAGUUAAUCUGAAAAAAAGCAUCAUUCUGUAAAGAAUUAAGAGAGAAAUCAUUUGAUCAUAGUACUGUA